CUGUGGCGGCAGCAGCUGGCGCAGGAGCGGACGAACGUUUGCGGAAAAGACGAGGUGGACGUCGGCGUGGGGAUGCAGAUUGAUCGCUCGGGUCCGGCACUGCCACAGAACCGCGGCGACGGCUUCGAAGGUCGUGCACCUGGUGGAGGACUAGGAAGCAGCUCCUCUUUAGGGAUCACGAGAGGGAACUCGAGGUUCUUGAGAUCAAUGAGACUGCAGUGAGCCAUCGCCUCCACGAACCACACGCCGUCGCCGGUGCAGGCGACCUCGAGCUCUCCUUCGCCCGACGUCACCAGCCGGCCUGCGAUGGGGUAGUAAGGCACCAGAGCCCGGGACAAGGCUCCUCUGACGAGGCGUGCAGCCUCCGCGCCAUGGCCGUACGCCGACAUCAUCUCCAGGGAAAACCGCAACCCCAGUGCGUGAUCCACGGAAGAGAGGGUGAGAGUGGCGGAGGGGGUGUGCUCGCAGGGGGCGACGAGUCCCGCGGCCAACAUGGUGACGGCGAAUCCCAUGGUGGCGAGAGUAGUCUCUUGAUGCUGAUGCUAAUACUGCUCUUUGCCUGUGGCCUCGUCCUCCAUUUAUAGAGGCGUUGGGAGAUCCAUGCAUGGCAUUGGUUCUCGUCGUUUAGCUCACACGUUAAAUCCAACGACGAUUGUUUUCGCUUGUUUGCUUUCUA